rnacentral:rRNA from 1 species
AGUGAACGCUGGCGGUAGGCCUAACACAUGCAAGUCGAACGGCAGCACAGUAAGAGCUUGCUCUUACGGGUGGCGAGUGGCGGACGGGUGAGGAAUACAUCGGAAUCUACUUUUUCGUGGGGGAUAACGUAGGGAACCUUACGCUAAUAACGCAUACGACCUACGGGUGAAAGCAGGGGAUAUUAGGACCUUGCGCGAUUGAAUGAGCUGAUGUCGGAUUAGCUAGUUGGCGGGGUAAAGGCCCACCAAGGCGACGAUCCUUAGCUGGUCUGAGAGGAUGAUCAGCCACACUGGAACUGAGACACGGUCCAGACUCCUACAGGAGGCAGCAGUGGAGAAUAUUGGACAAUGGGCGCAAGCCUGAUCCAGCCAUACCGCGUGGGUGAAGAAGGCCUUCGGGUGGUAAAGCCCUUUUGUUGGGAAAGAAAAGCAGCAGGUUAAUACCCCGCUGUUCUGACGGUACCCAAAGAAUAAGCACCGGCUAACUUCGUG